GUCGACGAAGCAACUACCUUGCUUGCAAGAGAGUUGACUUAGUGGCGGACGGGUGAGUAACGCGUGGGUAACCUGCCUCAUACAGGGGGAUAACAGUUGGAAACGACUGCUAAGACCGCAUAACCCGCUAGUGUCGCAUGACACGGACGGAAAAUAUUUAUAGGUAUGAGAUGGGCCCGCGUCUGAUUAGCUAGUUGGUAAGGUAACGGCUUACCAAGGCGACGAUCAGUAGCCGACUUGAGAGAGUGAUCGGCCACAUUGGGACUGAGACACGGCCCAAACUCCUACGGGAGGCAGCAGUGGGGAAUAUUGGACAAUGGGGGAAACCCUGAUCCAAGCGACGCCGCGUGAGUGAAGAAGUAUUUCGGUAUGUAAAGCUCUAUCAGCAGGGAAGAUAAUGACAGUACCUGACUAAGAAGCCCCGGCUAACUACGUGCCAGCAGCCGC
rnacentral:rRNA from 1 species